GAUUGUAACGCGUGGAUAACCUACCUCAAGGACUGGGAUAACACCGGGAAACUGGUGCUAAUACCGGAUAAGCUCAUCGGGGCACAUGCUUUGAUGAGGAAAGGAGAAAUCCGCUUUGAGAUGGAUCCGCGUCCCAUUAGCUAGUUGGCGGUGUAACGGACCACCAAGGCUUCGAUGGGUAGCCGGCCUGAGAGGGUGGACGGCCACACUGGAACUGACACACGGUCCAGACUCCUACGGGAGGCAGCAGUGGGGAAUCUUCCGCAAUGGGCGAAAGCCUGACGGAGCAACGCCGCGUGAAUGAUGAAGGCCUUCGGGUUGUAAAAUUCUGUCUUCAGGGAAGAAAAAAAUGACGGUACCUGAGGAGGAAGCCCCGGCUAACUACGUGCCAGCAGCCGCGGUAAUACGUAGGGGGCGAGCGUUGUCCGGAAUCACUGGGCGUAAAGGGCGCGUAGGCGGUUUCUUAAGUCAGAGGUGAAAACUAUGGGCUCAACCCAUAGCCUGCCUUUGAAACUGGGAGACUUGAGGACAGGAGAGGGGAGUGGAAUUCCCAGUGUAGCGGUGAAAUGCGUAGAUAUUGGGAGGAACACCAGUGGCGAAGGCGGCUCUCUGGCCUGUAACUGACGCUGAGGCGCGAAAGCGUGGGGAGCGAACGGGAUUAGAUACCCCGGUAGUCCACGCCGUAAACGAUGGGUGCUAGGUGUAGGAGGUAUCGACCCCUUCUGUGCCGUAGUUAACAUAAUAAGCACCCCGCCUGGGGAGUACGGCCGCAAGGUUGAAACUCAAAGGAAUUGACGGGGGCCCGCACAAGCGGUGGAGCAUGUGGUUUAAUUCGACGCAACGCGAAGAACCUUACCAGGGUUUGACAUCUUCUGA
rnacentral:rRNA from 1 species